CUUACUUGAUUAACUUACAUUUACAACCAUGCUGGAUUCUUUAGAGGUGUAACCACAGCCUUAACUUGCAAGUAAUUAUGAAGACUAUAUAUACCUUUCUCCCUUCCUACCCCACUCAUCUUGUACCCACCAAAUGGAAUUGCAGCAUCAAACACAUCAAAGCAAUUAAUCCACACUGUUCCUGCCUUUAAUCCUCUCAUCAAAGUAUUUGCAGUGUCCAAAUUAUUUGUGAACACUCCUGCAGCAAGACCAUAACGUGUAUUAUUUGCCCUUCUUAUGACUUCAUCAGU
rnacentral:lncRNA from 1 species